rnacentral:rRNA from 1 species
GACGAACGCUGGCGGCGUGCUUAACACAUGCAAGUCGAACGGAAAGGCCCUGCUUUUGUGGGGUGCUCGAGUGGCGAACGGGUGAGUAACACGUGAGUAACCUGCCCUUGACUUUGGGAUAACUUCAGGAAACUGGGGCUAAUACCGGAUAGGAGCUCCUGCUGCAUGGUGGGGGUUGGAAAGUUUCGGCGGUUGGGGAUGGACUCGCGGCUUAUCAGCUUGUUGGUGGGGUAGUGGCUUACCAAGGCUUUGACGGGUAGCCGGCCUGAGAGGGUGACCGGCCACAUUGGGACUGAGAUACGGCCCAGACUCCUACGGGAGGCAGCAGUGGGGAAUAUUGCACAAUGGGCGGAAGCCUGAUGCAGCAACGCCGCGGGCGGGAUGACGGCCUUCGGGUUGGAAACCGCUUUCGCCUGUGACGAAGCGUGAGUGACGGUAAUGGGUAAAGAAGCACCGGCUAACUACGUGC